CCGGAGGGGAGAAGAACUUUCUUUAUUGCUGUACAUUUAGAAGUUAGGAUAAACAAUGUAAGGUUGUUUCUUUUAGUUCUACUUUGUGAAAAUGGUUGAAAUUUGCGUUUAAAGAGCAACAGCAGCACCUGUAGAAGAGCAGAUAAUCAGACUAAAUACGCCAUAAGUCUGCUGUCAUCACAGAGCCUAACCCGCGUUUAAAUCCCUGAAUUCACCUGUCGCCGCACCUGGAGACGCUUUAAGGCGGAUAGCUACUGUCAGCAACAGGUGUCCGUCCGCGAGCCCCACAAACAAUAACAAAAGUACCACGGACAACAUUUCAGUGCUUCAAAGAACAUUUAACACCCGUGAGGUAACCGGUUGGAAGAAAGUUCACCAAAGUCAAAAGUUUGUAUUCCGCCGCCGCAGCUCACCUUGGGACUCCGGAGGAGAUGUGUCGCUGCCGUCCAGGUCCGCCAUUUCUCCUGACGUCAGCUGAGAGGGAUCACACGCAGGAACCCGCGCGCGACCUGAUGGAAUGAUCCCAAACAGGGUGGCCUGGACGGGCCCGGGGCCCCUCCCACGGACAGCACUUCUUCAGCAGAACGGAUCUCCAUUUAUUAUAUGGGGAUAGUAACAUCCUGUCUCAGAUAAACGAAGUUUAUCUAUAAAAA